rnacentral:rRNA from 1 species
CACGUAGGGGGCAAGCGUUGUCCGGAAUCAUUGGGCGUAAAGAGCUCGUAGGCGGCUCAGUAAGUCGGGUGUGAAACCCCCAGGCUCAACCUGGGGACGCCACCCGAUACUGCUGUGGCUAGAGUCCAGUAGGGGAGUGUGGAAUUCCCGGUGUAGUGGUGAAAUGCGUAGAUAUCGGGAGGAACACCAGUGGCGCAAGCGGCUGACUGGCCGAGACCUGACGCUGAGACGCGACGGCGUGGGGAGCAAACAGG